AGGAUGCAGAGUGAAGCGUGGGAGGCUCAUGAGCUUGGAGCGGGGUAGCUCUGGUUCCGAGUUCCGGUUCUGCCGCCUGCUGUUUAUGGUGUCUUGGAAACAGGUCACUUUUCUGAGCCAAUGAGGGAUACCUUUGUCGAUAAAUGGAGCUAUAGGUGACCUCAAGGAUGAAGUUGGCCUCUGUAUAUCAGGUUUUUGUUCCACACAACGUGACAGCACACAUUCGCCGCAACAGAUACAGGGGAGAGCCCCGAAGUUCUGGAAGAAAAGCAGCCCUUUGCUAAUGAAACUCGAAACCAAAGGUCUGAGGCACCCUGGAUCCCCACCAAUUUAGGAAGAACCAGGGGUCAGGCGUGGAUCAACGGCUUCUCCUCUGUGGCUUCAGCCAGGCCAGGUUCCUCUCUGCGAAUUAGUCACUUACAGUCCCUCAGAGUUCCUCUUGGCACCAGGGGUGGGACCUGUCCCUGGAGAAGCCACUUUUCUGCCCCCUCAUCUGCUCAGGCUGUCCCUCGGAAUGAGGGCUAAGUAGACCUAGCGGGGCCUGUGCCUCAGCCCUUCACUCUCAGCUCCCCCAGUGACGCCGAGAGUCCCACAGCAGCAGGAAGGGACAGUGUUCGCCUAACCUGCCAGGGCCCCGUAGGAGCAGCACCCUCUCCACCCCACUCCUGUUCAGUGUUUUAUGACUUAGACAGCUGGUCACGGUUGGUGACAUCGCAGUGGCUGCUGCCACAUGGGACCGUGCACGGAUAUGCAGAGCCCACAGUGUACACCAGGGCUGCAGAGGCCCUCUGCCCCUGCCCUCCAGCCGCCCAGCCCCACCUCUGCAAGGGAGGGUCGGCAUCCUGCACCCGCACCUGUGGCACCCAGAUCCCUCCCUGCCUGGGAGCUCUCUCUGCAGCCAUGGCCGGUCCAGGUGACGCUUGCCAGGACUGCGGGAGUGCUUAAAGUGGCUCUGACUUGAGCCUCCCACUUAGCUGCAAGCCUCGGCCGUCCCUGUUGCCCUGCUCCCUGCACUCCGACUGACAGCCCGAGUCUGUAGUCACACCGUCAGAAGGGCCCUCCUGCCCUGCCCGCAGCCGGUGUUCAGAAAUGCUCUGUGCCCAGAACGCGCCCAGGCGCUAAAUAAAUGACGGUGGUCUUGCACGUGGGGGAGAGGUCGAUGCCCAGGAGGGUUUCCGGGCCUCUGGUUUCUCCGCCCCCCGCCCCCGCGCCUUUGGUUUCAGAGGCGUGUGGACAUCAAGGCUCUGAGAGCUGUCUUCCAAGUCUCCGUGAUGGGCUCCCGGAAAGAUUCCAGUCACUCACCCUUGACUAGUGCUAUGGGUCUUUGAGGUUCCUCUGGCCCCAAUAAAGCAAUCUCUGAUG